UGGAAUUUAGACACCCUGCCACUUGACACUUC
rnacentral:piRNA from 1 species